GUUUUCCACACCUUCUCCUUCAAACCUCCCUCACUGGCAGUCCAUCUUUUUCUCCGUCGAAUCGCCGUCGUUGACUCCGAUCACCGGCAGCAGAGAUGAGCGGACACGAUUCGAAAUACUUCUCCACCACUAGAAAAGGCGAAAUCCCCGAGCUUAAGAAGAACUCAAUUCACAGUACAAGGUAUCGCUUCUAACCUAACUUCACUGAAUUUAUACACAUCUACUCUGAUCUGAUGCGAAAGUACCUAAACUCUUACAAUGUCAUUCGUAUGUGUUGAUCUGUGUUGAAAGUUCAUCAUUAUGCUAGAUGUAUUGUUAGAUCUGUAACUAUGAGAUGAUAUUUAAUCGAUCAGGUCAUUUUGAAGCUGUUUAUUGGACCGAUUUAUGAUUCGUUAUGCGAAACGGUUUCGUAGAUCAUAAGUUUCAAUUCGGUUUAUGAAGUUUCUUAUUAUUAUGUGCAUAUACAUGUCAGUAGUUACUAACUUACUACUCUUACAAUUGUUACUAGUUUCUUGUUAGCUUUGCAUCUAGCAAGUUCCAUAGUUUUGUGUUUUUGGGAUAUUUUACGGUUUUAGCCGGGUUAGGGCAUGUGAUUUGUAUGUGAAGAUUUCUGAUUGAAAACUGAAGAUCGUUGGUUCUUUGGAAGCGUAAGACUCCUUGGAACAUAAGUUUCAAUUCGGUUCGUGAUGUUUCUCAUACUGUGCACUUACAUGUUAGCGUCUUGUUUCUCAUUCUGUAAUGUUAGUUUAACGAAUUAUAUUUAGUUGUGUUGAAUAUUGUUACUGAUGGCUACAUCUUGAUGAUUCAAGCAGAUCCAUCUAAGAGUUCCAUUCGUGAUUGAGAAAAAACGUUGCAACAUCAUCAUAUAUGUUGCGAGUGGGCUACAUUACCUUCAUAAAAGAAGCCAAUUCUGCCUCGAGACAUGGUCAAGGCUAGGAUUGGAAUAUCGUGUAUACCUGUACACGAUAAGACACGACACGAUAAGACACGAUACACGAACUAGCUAACAUCCUGACAGAUGGAUUAAUCCGCACAAAAGAAGAAAUGAGUUCUCAUGCUGUUGUAAUUACAUGGAUUUUUCUCGGGCGGGAUAAUAACCGACUUAGUGUUCGGUUUAAAAAUUCAUACGGAGUAAGGAGGAGAGUUCUGGGGCAAGCACGGGUAACUGAUGCCUUUUUCAAGAAGAUUGGAGUACCAGAGAUGUCGGAAUAGCGAAAAUUAAGAGAAGAGAAAAGAAAGGAUAGUUAAUAAAGAGAAGAAAAGAUCCGGUGGCCACGGUGACCCAUGGUUGGUCAAGGGGAGGUUAAAGUUUGAGAUGAUGGUCAAAGAGAGCGUCAGAAUAUAGAGAAUAGAGACUGUUUAACCUUCACGUGAAAUCCAACGGUGGACUUAAAGAUAGAGACGGCGGUGCCAUGUGGUGGUCUACGAUGUAUGAUGGUGAGAGGAGAUAUUGGCGUUGAGAGCUCCCCAUCUACCUCUGUACACCACGGCUACAAGGUUAACGAUGGCGGAGUGAUGGUUGUUAUGGCUAUCUGUGGCGGAGUCAUAGUUUUGUAGAAAAGAAAGUCAUGGUUUUGUAGAAAAGAAAAUUUGUAGUUUGUGAAAACUGAAAAGUAAGAUAUGGAAGAGAGAUUUGGGAGUUUUGGAUACAGUACAAGAAAUUCAAAUUUAGUUAAUAAUUC
rnacentral:lncRNA from 1 species